GCCAGGCGCAGUGGCGCACGCCUGUCAUCCCAGUGGCUCGGGAGGCUGAGGCAGGAGGAUCGCGAGUUCAAAGCCAGCCUCAGCAAAGGCGAGGUGCUAAGUAACUCAGUGAGACUCUGUCUCUA
rnacentral:sRNA from 1 species